GGCUUGUUGUUUAUGAUUUCAAGUCUGACCUGCCCACUGAGUAGUUAAAUGGCCGCGGUAUCUUGACCGUGCAAAGGUAGCAUAAUCACUAGUUUUUUAAUUGAAAGCUUGAAUGAAAGGUUUGAUGAGAAAAAGACUGUCUCUGUAAAAAUUUAUUAGAAUUUUAUUUUUAAGUAAAAAAGCUUAAAUGUGUAUAGAAGACGAGAAGACCCUAUAGAGUUUUAUAAACGUGAAAAAUCUAGAUUUAAGGAUAGCAUAGUUUAGGUUUUAAAGUGUUUAUUUGGUUGGGGUGACAGAAAAAUUAGGUUAACUUUUUUUAGUACAAGAACAUUAAUUUUUGAGUACAUGAUCCUUGGUUUAAGAUUAAAAGAUAAAAUUACCUUAGGGAUAACAGCGUAAUUUUUUUUAGAGCUCUUAUCGAAAAAAAAGAUUGCGACCUCGAUGUUGGAUUAAAAUUAAUUAUUGGUGUAGAAGCUAAUAUAUUAGGUCUGUUCGACCUUUAAAAUUUUACAUGAUCUGAGUUUAAACCGGUGUGAG
rnacentral:rRNA from 1 species